AGGUAAUGCUGCCACCAUGCCAAGAGGGUGAUGCACCCUAACCACAAGACAGACACCCCAGAACUCACUGUGUGAAACUCUUCAUCCAGCUGUUCAUCAGUAUCCUUCAUAACAUCCUUUCCAAUAUGCUAAUAUAUAGAAAGACACUGAAGGAAUUAAAUCAGCUUGUCCAGCAGCAAGCUUCAGAGCCAAAUAUAAGCACACCUCAUAAUUCAGAGACCUCGUGAUGGGUCCUCAGAAGACACACCCAGCAGCUGCCAAAUGAACAGCAGAUGACGGAAAGGGGCCCUUGGCCUGAUCUCUCAUGGGAGACAGUGACCUUUCCUGAGUUGAAGAUGGUGAAAUGCCAGAAGGAGCUGAUGAGGCUGUCCCACACACUGACACUGCUAUGAUAUCAUGAUUGAAUUUCACUUUUUUCUCCCACCAUAAUGUAAUUUCUGGGCAGUGAUUGGGGUGUUGAUUCAUAAACACCCCUUACUGUUCUGCAUUGGAUUAAUCAUGAUGUACUGUCUUUUUCUCACUAUUUACAAAGUACAGCACCAUGAGAAUCCCUGAAUUUUAGAAUAAGUUUCUCUCCACUGGAAUAUAACACAUAUUUUGGGUUCUUUGCCUGGACUGGUCAUUUCUUUCUUUUACUAAUUGUUGUGAAAGAAUGACAGAGAUGUACAACAUGGUUUUUGAAUGGAUGCUGAGUUUAACUCUCCCGCUUACCAGAGAUAAAGUUGGCCAUACACACACGUCUCUUAUAUAAGAGUUUAUUCAUUGGCAGACACUUUGAUGAUGACAUUGAGUUAGAUGAAAUACUGGUUCCAGUUUGUAGCACUUUAUGAAUUUUCAUGUAAAGUGAUCAUUCAAUUUAAGGUUUCUGCACACAUCUUACAAAGCAUAUCUGUUUAUCAGAGCUCAUUUACUUAAGAGGAUUAAAAUGAAAUCUCUCCUCAUGAGCCAAGGGUGAAAUAGCUAGUGUCCGCUCCUAAAUAUGUGAACUAAUAUGUUUUUCCAUGGGCAAGCAAGAUUUUGUUUUUCUCCUAUUUUUCUUCUUCAGAAGGAAAUGAUUAAAAUAUUAAUAACACAAAAAUAAAUAUACAUUAUAAAACUCAAAAAAAUAAGGAUUUUUAUUGGAGUAAAGUUUUUAGUGGAGUAAAUUAUACAAUAUUAAAAAAGCAAUGGAAUUUAAAAGCAUGCCAUUUUUAAGUUUCCCUUUAUUAAUACAUUAGCAUACACAAAAUCUCAAUUAAAAAUUGCUUUAAAAGAUACUAAGUGCCAUUCAACUCUUAUUCUUUUAUCAUCUUCAAAAUAGCUGUUUAAAUCUAUAUUUAUACAAAAUAGCUGUUUAAAAAAUAUCUUUUUUUAAUUUUUUUCAUUUUUUU
rnacentral:lncRNA from 1 species